rnacentral:rRNA from 1 species
GUGCCAGCAGCCGCGGUAAUACGGGGGGGGCAAGCGUUGUUCGGAAUUACUGGGCGUAAAGGGCGCGUAGGCGGUUUGUUAAGUUGGAUGUGGAAACUCUGGGCUUAACCCAGAGCCUGCAUCCAAAACUAGCAAGCUAGAGUUCUGGAGGGGAUAAUGGAAUUCCUGGUGUAGCGGUGAAAUGCGUAGAUAUUGGGAGGAACACCGGUGGCGAAGGCGGCCCCCUGGACCGGUACUGACGCUGAGGCGCGAAAGCGUGGGUAGCAAACGGGAUUAGAUACCCCAGUAGUCC